rnacentral:tRNA from 1 species
UUCAAUGUGGCAGAAUAGUGCAAUGAACUUAAGAUUCAUAUAUAAAUAAGUUUAUUUUAUUGAAA